rnacentral:misc_RNA from 1 species
AUUUAGAGGAAGGAGAAGUCGUAACAAGGUUUCCGUAGGUGAACCUGCGGAAGGAUCAUUGUCGAAACCUGCCCAACAGCAAGACCCUGUGAACUCGUUUAACAAAUUAACAAGYGUGUGUGGUGGGUCAUUGGAUCGACAACAUGCCCUUGUAAGUCGAGGGGUGCCCAUUGCUCACGUAGCAUUUGGGUCCUCAAGACACAACAAACCAAUCCCGGCGCGGGUUGCGCCAAGGAAUUGUCGUAAACAGAAGGAACUCUUAUCCGUCCUGGAAACAGCGUACGUGAUGAGGCCUUGUUCCUUUUUGUUAGCCAUAAACAAAACGACUCUCGGCAACGGAUAUCUCGGCUCUUGCAUCGAUGAAGAACGUAGUGAAAUGCGAUACGUGGUGUGAAUUGCAGAAUCCCGUGAACCAUCGAGUUUUUGAACGCAAGUUGCGCCCAAAGCCUUUUGGUUGAGGGCACGUCUGCCUGGGUGUCACACAUCGUUGCCCAAAAACCCAAAUUGUGAUGGGACUUGGGYGGAUCUUGGUCUCCCGUGUGCCCAUUGCUCGCGGUUGACCCAAAUACGAGCCUCGUUGAUGUUGUACAUGGCAAUCGGUGGUGUAAAGGCCCUCGGAAAAUGCUGUGCACUCUCGUCACCUUGGUGUUAAUGGCCCCAAUGCAGUCAUUGCAUUAUCUUGAAGCGACCCCAGGUCAGGCGAGACUACCCGCUGAGUUUAAGCAUA